CUCCUACGGGAGGCAGCAGUGGGGAAUAUUGGGCAAUGGGCGCAAGCCUGACCCAGCAACGCCGCGUGAAGGAAGAAGGCUUUCGGGUUGUAAACUUCUUUUGUCAGGGACGAAGCAAGUGACGGUACCUGACGAAUAAGGAUCGGCUAACUCCGUGCCAGCAGCCGCGGUAAUACGGAGGAUCCAAGCGUUAUCCGGAUUUAUUGGGUUUAAAGGGUGCGUAGGCGGAUUGAUAAGUUAGAGGUGAAAUGUCCGAGCUUAACUCGGGAACUGCCUCUAAUACUGUUGAUCUAGAGAGUAGAUGC
rnacentral:rRNA from 1 species